rnacentral:rRNA from 1 species
GAUGAACGCUGGCGGCGUGCUUAACACAUGCAAGUCGAACGGAAAGGCUCUGCUUUUGUUGGGUGCUCGAGUGCCGAACGGGAGAGUAUCACGAGUGUAACCUGCCCCUGACACUGGGAUAACUUCAGGGAACUGGGGCUCAUACCGGAUAGGAGUUCCAGCUGCAUGGUGGGGGUUGGAAAGUUUCGGCGGGUGGGGAUGGACCCGCGGCUCAUCAGCUUGUUGGUGGGGUAGUGGCUUACCAAGGCUUUGACGGGUAGCCGGCCUGGGAGGGUGACCGGCCACAAUGGGACUGAGAUAACGCCCAAUACCCUACGGGGGGGAUCAGGGGAGAAUAAUGCACAAUGGGCGGAAGCCCGAUGCGGCAACGCCGGGGGCGGGAUAACGGCCUUCGGGUUGGAAACCGCUUUCGCCUGUGACGAAGCGUGAGUGACGUUAAUGGGUGAAGAAGGACCGGCUAACUACGUG